UCCCCACCAACCGGAGCGCUUGCCUGCCGAUGGAGAGGUCUCAGCCAGGCUCCGCCCGCCGUCUCCCGCCUCGACGGCGCUGCCCCGCCACGGCGGAGGGUCCCUGCGGCGGCUGCUCCCUUCGGCCCGGCCCGCCUCCCGAGCGGUCUCCGCCAAGAUGCUUCCCUCCUCCCCUAUCUUGUGGGUUGCGGGGCGCCGGGGGGGAUUAAUCGGUUGGAUCGAGCUCGAAAUGCGGCGGCGGCGCGGCGGGCGGGGAUCGGGCGGCGAUUUGGUCAGAGUUUGACUUUUUCCCUCCCCAGCCGCCGCCGCCGUGGACUCGAGCCGCGCUGCCUACUUUUUUCUCGCGCGCGUGGAAUUCGCCUGAUUUGGACUGGUGGAUCACCUACCCCGGCGCGUCCGGCCAGCUCGGGAACGUAUAGGCGCCUUCCGAGAGCUGCUCCCGUAGGCUCUGCUGGAUCGGCGGCGUGCUCGUUUUGCUUUCCUCUUGCCAUAUCUGAAUCACGCGUGCGCGCGCGCGCGCAUUGAUCGGAAUUCGGGCUGCACUGCUAGAGCGGCCGUCAGGUGACCGGGGCGGUGCGGUGCUGGCCUUAGGACCCCGAUUCUUCUAGAUCGCCGUUCAGCCUGCUUGAUUUUUACUACUACUACUUAAUCAUGAUCUCUUGCAUCAGCGCUGUGCUUACCUUGUGUGUUGUAAAUGCAGAGAGGUAGCUGGGAUGGAAUUUUGGCGAUUUGGUGCAUUCUGUUGAGCUUCUGCUCCCUAAUUUUUCCACUGAUUUCUUAGUGGAAUGGAAGGUGAAGAAGGACAACGAGUUCAUCUGCGGCAGCUAUCGCUGUGAGCAGUCCAUCCGCGACGCACUCCGCAGCGUCUUCGCCGGGCACAACGAGAUCCUCAAUGUCUGGAAGUAAGUCGCCGGCCAUCUGUUUCCUGAUGAAUUUUCUUUCUAGCUCAAUGUGAUCGGAUCUGACUAGUACGUUCAGAUUUGCUCUUGUUUUCUUUUCAAAUAGUACUAGUAGUCUAUAUUCCAGCUGUGCGACUACCUGUAGCCACUUGAACCGAUGAGAAUUCUUCAAGCCUACCUAUAGCCACUUGAACAGAUGUCUAUCUCAGAUCUGCUCAUCUAAAAAAUCCAAGUGGAGUAGUAUACUGGUAGUAUAGUAUAAUAAUAUUAUCAAAAGGUAAAUGCCCUGAUUAUUUAGCUCUGUCAGAUAAAUACUCGUCGAAAGUGGGCUCCUAUCAAAAUUCAUUUCCAUUAUAAUCUUACUCAUACAAUAUUCACACCAUGUAAUUCUGGAAAUAUAUGCUCAUAUCUAGUUCUGCAUAAAAAAUGACAGUAUUGACAUGUUAUAAAUAGUUUGUUUGUCUUUCUGUUUAUUUUGUUACAUUUUGCAGGGAUAAAGUGAAGAAAAA